UCUUGUCUUAUUAUGGUCGCGGUUGCGACGCGAUGUUCGUUCGGAUCUCCUCCGGCUUUUUUUCUAAGCUAUUGGGCAGGUAUGCCCAUGGGGCUGGUGAUUUCACUGUUGGUCUGUCGUUCAAUGAUUUUCUCUCUACUGCCUAGUUACGAUCUCUAUCAUUUCCACUAUCAUGGCAUGGGACAUCUUGGUUAUUGGUCUUAUUAUCCUCGCUUCUCAUUAUUGUAUCUCUAAAUCAUUAGCAUACACCUCCGAAACAAGGCAAUGAUUUAAAGAUAAUGGUGGGAAGCGAGGAUAGAAAGACUGAUAACCAAGAUUUCCCAUGCCCUGAUAGCAGAAACGAUAGAGAUUGAUGCCAUGAUAGCAGAAAUGAUAAUUUGUAACUACACAGAAAAGAGAGAACUUUUGAACGACAGACCAACAGUGGAAUUAUCCACCCCAUGGGCAUACCUUCUCGGUAGCUUGGAGAGGAUGCCGGAGGAGACGCAAAAG
rnacentral:lncRNA from 1 species